CUCGGAGUUCUGUGCCAGGAACCGAGCUGAGGAACUCAGCUGAGGAAACCACGGGAAUCUCAUUUGAAGAGGAAUUUGGCCCCUGGAGCCCCCUCCCCACUCACUGGUGGGAGGGUGCCAAGACUUCAGUCGCCGCCGCCACACCAGCAAACCCCAAACCACAGGAAUGCAAUGGGGUCACCUGGGGACAGAGGGAGAUGGAUGGACAGCGAGUAGGCAGUGAGCCCUUGGGCCUGCAUCGCAUGGGGUCUGCUAUUUUGUGACAAAAGCACUGGACUUGGUCCCCAGGCCUCGGUGUGGAUUCAGGCCUCGGUGUGGAUUCAGGCUUGCCACUCGGGUCAUGGGGUCUUGGGUGGUCACGUCUGUGGCUAACCACGCUCACCUGGCCACUCUGGCCUUUGGACCAACUCGGGCAAGGAGCUGAGCUUGACGGGGAGGGAAGCCACGGAUUGGGGUGGACGGAGGCGGUGAGUGAGAGUAGAGUGUUCUGGUCUCCAGGCUCUGCAGGCUGAGCAGGGGAGGCACCCAGCACUUGUUACCCAGGGAAAGGAAACUAUGUCGAUAAUGAUUUGUCAGCUAUGGGUCAAGGACUGCUCCAGGCACUUUUUUUUUUUUGAGACGGAGUCUCGCUCUGUCACCCUGGCUGGAGUGCAGUGGCGCAAUCUCGGCUCACUGCAAGCUCCGCCUCCCGGGUUUCACGCCAUUCUCCUGCCUCAGCCUCCCGAGUAGCUGAGACUGCAGGUGCCCGCCACCAUGCCCGGCUAAUUUUUUAAAUAUUUUUAGUAGAGACAGGGUUUCACCGUGCUAGCCAGGAUGGUCUCAAUCUCCUGACCUCGUGAUCCGCUCGCCUCGGCCUCCCAAAGUGCUGGGAUUACAGGCGUGAGCCACCACGCCUGGCCCGCUCCAGGCACUUUAUAUAAUACAUUGCAUUUCUCCUUACGGUGGUCCUCUGGUGUGGCUGGCAUCAUUCUCUUUUAUAGACAAGGAAACCAAGAAAGGAGAAGGGGAC
rnacentral:lncRNA from 10 species